rnacentral:rRNA from 1 species
UACGUAGGGUCCAAGCGUUAUCCGGAAUCACUGGGCGUAAAGCGUGCGUAGGUGGCGUGUUAAGUGUGAUGUUAAAUCGCGGGGCUCAACCCUGUCGGUGCAUCGCAUACUGGCAUGCUAGAGGGAAGCAGAGGCAAGUGGAAUUUGUAGUGUAGCAGUGAAAUGCGUAGAUAUUACAAGGAACACCAAUGGCGAAGGCAGCUCGCUGGGACGUGACUGACGCUGAGACGCGAAAGCGUGGGGAGCAAACAGG